rnacentral:lncRNA from 1 species
CAGAGGCGCACCUGGGCGGCCAGCUGGGCUCGGAGUGCAGCGGGGUUAGGGUGGACGAGGACGUGUUGCACCCUGAAGAGCCUCAUCAUCGCCUGCUCUUGAGGUUCACAGAUGAUACCUUUGAUCCAGAACUUGCAGCAACAAUAGCACCGGAAGCAGUACUCAGAACAAGUCAUACCUAAUGCUGCAGGAAACAUUUCCAAACGUGUAUGAAGAUACAUAUUGGUGGCAGAGCUAAUUCAACAGAAGCAACUCCAUCUACCUUUUCAUGUUAUUUUGACACCAAAACAAAUCUUGAAAGUGAAUGAAUACAUAUUGCUUUGUUAAAUACAUAUUUGACUUAUAUGGUGUUUAUAUAAAUAUAUAUAUAUUUUAGAAUCCACAAACUAUCAAAAUAA